ACCUUCACCAUUUUACCACCUUCCUUUGCAUACAACGGACCAGCAAAGUCAACCCCAACUUUAGCAAAUGGUGGUGACUCCCGCACCCUGAAGUCCGGUAAACCUGCCUCAUCAGGUUUUCCAUAAGGCUUACCCCCAUGUCUCUUACAGACAACACACUUACCGAUCACCUUCUUCACUAUUUGACGUCCUCGUGGCACCCAAUACUUACCUCUCAAUUCUGCCAGAGUAGCUCUGAGCCCGCAAUGAUGAA